rnacentral:lncRNA from 1 species
AGCUGCUGCAACCCGCUGCCCUCUGGUGUCCUGCUGUGGGAGCUUUGUUCUUUCACUCUCGUAAUAAGUCUUGCUGCUGCUCACUCUUUGGGUCCGCACUGUCUCUGUGAGCUGUAACACUCACCGCGAGGUUCUGUGCCUUCGUUCUUUAAGUCAGGGAGACCACGAACCCACCGGGAGGAACAAACAACUGUGAUGCGCCAUCUUUAAGAGCUGUAACAUUCACCGCCGGGGUCUGCGGCUUCAUUCCUGGAGUGAGUGAGACCACGAACCCACCAGAAGGAAGAAACUCUGGACCCAUCUGAACAGCUGAAGGAACAAACUCCGGACACACCAUCUUUAAGAACUGUAACACUCACCGGGAGUCUCCGUGGCUUCAUUCUUGAAGACAGCGAGACCAAGAACCCACCAGAAGGAAUGAAUUCCGCACACAGUAAGAUUUCUAUUUUUAAAAAAUCUCUGGGCUGUAGAACGGGAAAAAAAAGACUUGGAAGGCAAAGCUGAUAGUAGGGAUACAACACCAGUUAAUAUUUCAGUUGUUGUAUUAUAGGUAAGGGCUAGAGUAUUGGCAUUGGAGAGACGGACUAAAUUCUCAGCUCCAACCCUUACCAGCUUGGGUAAGUUAUUUAUUCUCUUUAAAUUUCAAUUUCCUUAAUGGUAAAAUGGGGCUACAGUAAUAACCAGAGCAGAUACGCACAUUCAAGGAUCUAAUGUAUGAAAAGGUGUAGAUGGAUUAAAAAAUGGUAGGAGGUGGAAUUAAAGGGUUGGAUGUGGAAGUGGAAAUGAAAGAAAGUGAGGUGUCAAGGGUUUCUGGCUUGGGCAGCAGCAGGUAGGUUGCAGCAUAUUUUCUUGAGAUAGGACUUUAGGAGGAGGUAAAUAUUCUGAAUGGAAGCUGUAGAACUGGAUGUGCUGCUUUUGAAGAGCCUAUGAGAUACCCAAAGUGGAAUUGUCUGGAAAGUAGUUGUACAAGAGAGGCUGAAGUUGAGGAGAGAGAUCUGGGUAGAACAUA